UGCAAAUGAUGUUUAUCUCACGAUGGUCUUCCAAGCUCAGAGCUUUGACGACAAUGCCUUAUGGCAACACUGAUGCAGCUUU